rnacentral:tRNA from 1 species
GGGAAUGUGGUUCAGUGGUAGAGUGCUUGCCUUGCAUGCAUGAGGCCCUAGGUUCAAUUCCUCAGCACCA